CCUACGGGAUGCAGCAGUGGGGAAUAUUGGGCAAUGGGCGCAAGCCUGACCCAGCAACGCCGCGUGAAGGAAGAAGGCUUUCGGGUUGUAAACUUCUUUUAAGAGGGAAGAGCAGAAGACGGUACCUCUUGAAUAAGCCACGGCUAACUACGUGCCAGCAGCCGCGGUAAUACGUAGGUGGCAAGCGUUGUCCGGAUUUACUGGGUGUAAAGGGCGUGUAGCCGGGCUGACAAGUCCUAUGUGAAAUUCCGGGGCUCAACCCCGGACCUGCAUUUGAAACUGUUUGUCGGGAGUAUCGGAGAGGCAGGCGGAAUUCCUAGUGUAGCGGUGAAAUGCGUAGAUAUUAGGAGGAACACCAGUGGCGAAGGCGGCCUGCUGGACGACAACUGACGGUGAGGCGCGAAAGCGUGGGGAGCAAACAGGAUUAGAUACCCCAGUAGUC
rnacentral:rRNA from 1 species